UCUCCGUAGGUGAACCUGCGGAGGGAUCAUUACAGAGUUCAUGCCCUACCGGGUAGAUCUCCCACCCUAUGUUAUUAUCACUUUGUUGCUUUGGCGGGCCGUUAGGCUCCGGCCCGACUACCGGCCCCGGCUGGUAAGCGCCCGCCAGAGGACCCAAAACCCUGAAUAUUAGUGUCGUCUGAGUACUAUAUAGUAGUUAAAACUUUCAACAACGGAUCUCUUGGUUCCG
rnacentral:misc_RNA from 1 species